UGGGGAAUAUUGGGCAAUGGGCGAAAGCCUGAACUAGCAACGCCGCGUGUGCGAAGAAGGCCUUCGGGUUGUAAAGCACUUUUUGAGAGGAUGAGGAAGGACGGUACUCUCAGAAUAAGUCUCGGCUAACUACGUGCCAGCAGCCGCGGUAACACGUAGGAGGCAAACGUUAUCCGGAUUUACUGGGCGUAAAGCGCGUGUAGGUGGUUUGGUAAGUAGGGCGUGAAAGCUCCUGGCUCAACUGGGAGAGGACGUUCUAAACUGCCAAGCUUGAGGAUGGUAGAGGGAGGUGGAAUUCCGGGUGUAGCGGUGGAAUGCGCAGAUAUCCGGAGGAACACCAGUGGCGAAGGCGGCCUCCUGGACCACUCCUGACACUCAGACGCGAAAGCUAGGGUAGCAAACGG
rnacentral:rRNA from 1 species